rnacentral:lncRNA from 1 species
CCGGGAUGGCCUCAAGAAGUCCUUUAAAUACCCUGAAUGAUCUGAAGACCCGAGGGAAAUGGAAGAAUAUAUUGGAUGCACAUGACAGCCCAGGCAUGGCGAUGACCGGUGUUGUCUCCCCCAAGGACAUCGACACUGCUCUGUCCAGCUGCAAAGAACCCGGCAGCUUCAACCCCAAAGCUGUCUUCUCCCAGGUGGGCUUAUCCAGAAAGAACCCUGACCCAUCAGGAAAGCAUUUACGAGCCUAGACCGGACAAGAGCAGCCUCAUUGAAGAUGAGGAGUUUGAGCUGUUCCUACAGGACAUUUCCAGCUCUCCCCAGGUUCUGACUGACAAGGAGACCACGGACGUCCUCAAGGUGGGCGACUCAGAUGGAGACUGCAAGAUGGGAGUAGAUGAAUUCCAAACACUGGUAAAGGCUUAGCCAGCUUUCGACGCAAGGAUGACCUCAAGAUUUGUCCCUGGUCCCCCUCCUGCUUCUGGGCUCAUCUCUCCAUCCUUUUCCGAUGCUCCGUUGCAUCAGUGAAACAACCGCACCAUCAGGACGCGUCGCCAAGUAGGCGUUUGGGGUGACAUAGCCACAUGUCCCAAUAGGGGCAGAGCAAAAGGCAAGGGACCGUGGCAACUCACAAUAUGGCCUCUCAGCUAGGAGGUGAAGAAAUAAGGCCCAAAGCAGCCUACAAAUGGAUGUGCC